AGAUCCGGAACUGAGAAAACGAUAAGCACACUACGCCCGUAGAAGUCUUGUUUUGGUACCGAAGGACCCGGGUUCGAUUCCCGGCACCUCCACUA
rnacentral:tmRNA from 1 species